CCUAGUCAGAGGUCUGGUAUGAUUGCACACUAAGAACUUUUUACACUUAAACUUUAUUUUUCUAUUGUAAUCAAAGUUGUCUUGUGUAAAUGGAAGGAACUACAUAUGGGAGUUUAGAGGACCCCAAAGUCAGACUCAACAAGAUCUCAGUCUUAAGUAUCAUUGUUGGUCUUCCGUUGAGGCUAAAGAAAAAGAUCAAGUAGAUGCAAUCCUAAAAAUUUUGGUGGGUGCAGAGCCGGAGAAUUUGUUUUCUAGCAUUUUAAUUGGUGCAAAAGCUAAGCCUUUGAAGCAACCCAAGGCACAACAUAAAGAAU